AGUUCCUUCCUUGUUUGCCUGCCUGAACUUGAUCUUGUCUUUUCCUCUCCGAUUUCCCCGCUCAAUGACCUUGUUUCUGCCUCCUGAGCAACCCUCCAUGCCUAACCCCUGGAUCUUUCAGUUUGAAUCUGCCUUCUCGGACAUGACUUCGUUUCUGUACCCUGGACCAUGAUUCAAGCUUCUCCCUCGGAUCCUGUUGCCCCUAUCUGCUCUCAAGGCUCUGACCCAGUUUCUGUCCCCUUACCAUGGCAACCAGCUCAGUCACUGGGUUUAUAAACCCAAGCAUCUGUUGGACACUGCCCCGCCAACACUCUGAGGAGGGGAAGAUCAGCUUCCUUACAGAUUCUUUAGAGGUUCCUUAGCCUGCUGCUCAGGGUUUCCUGCCUGACGACAUCCAGAGUUUUUAAUAAACUUUUUGAAUCUUA